CUACGGCCAUAUCAUGUUGAAACACGGGUUCUCGUACGAUCACUGAAGUUAAGCAGUAUCGAGCGUGGUCAAAACCUAAAUGGUUAACCGUUUGGGAAUACCAAGUGCCGUAAG